rnacentral:Y_RNA from 1 species
GGCUGGUCCAAAUGCAGUGGUGUUUGCAAAUAAUUGAUCACAACCAGUAAAAAAUUCCUGUAUUCUUUCUGCACUCUCACUGUUUCACUUGAUUAGCCUAAA